GUCAAGCCAAAGGAUAGGCCUAGACGUUGCAACAGUUGCAACAAGCGAGUUGGAUUAAUGGGAUUCGACUGUCGUUGUGGUAACAUCUUCUGUGCCAUUCACCGUUACUCUGAUAAACACGAUUGCCCCUUCGAUUACCGCACUUCUGCACAGGAUGCAAUUGCUAAAGCCAACCCGAUUGUGAAGGCAGAGAAGCUCGACAAGAUCUAAGUGCAAAUCAGGCUAAAGGCUAGCUGGAACCUUGUAAUGUGUUGAUCAUUGUCAUCAUCACCUAGAUGAUUUCUGCUUUGCUGCAUGCAUAUCUUGUAACCUGUUGUGUAUUGUUAUAUUUGGAGGGGUGGGUAUGGCAAAAUCGUUGCAUCUCUGCAGUCUGAAGAAAAUGUAGGAAGCAGUACGUCGGUUUCAGUAUUUUUCUAAGUUCUUACAACGGUUUAACGUUAUCAUCAUAAGCGUGUUACUGACUGUAUUGUGUCAUAAAGUGUCUUGAGGAAUACGUAUAUGAAUGCAUGCUGCCCAUGUUUGAUUUGUUUGUAAGCAUCACUUGUGCUCUAAGGUCACUGAAUGCCUU
rnacentral:misc_RNA from 1 species